UUGAUACCCUAUUAUUUAAAAAUGUAAAUUUUAAUACUUGAGUAGUAAGAGUUAUGUGCUUGAAACUUAAAAAAUUUGGCGGUAUUUUAGUCUAUUCAGAGGAACCUGUUUUAUAAUCGAUAAUCCACGAUAAAUUCUACUUAAUUUUGUUUUCAGUUUAUAUACCGCCGUUAUUUGAAUAUUUUAAAAGAAUAAUAAUUUUCAAUAAUUUUAAUUAAAAUAGAUAUCAGGUCAAGGUGUAGCUUAUAUUUAAGAAAAUAAUGGGUUACAAUAAAUAUAUUUAUGUGAAUUUUAUAUUGUAAUAUAUAAAUGAAGAUGGAUUUGAUAGUAAAAUUUUUAAAAUUAAGAAUUUGAUUUUAGCUCUAAAAUAUGUACACAUCGCCCGUCGCUCUUA
rnacentral:rRNA from 1 species